ensembl:lncRNA
CUGCCCCUAAUGUGUGUAAUUGUGUGUUCUAUCUGCAGAUGAAAUCCAUGGUGGAGAUUCUCGGUAUGCCGUCGGACAACGAGCUCGCAUUUGGCAUGCAUUCCAAGAGAUUCUUCUGUCAGGAGGAGGAUGAGCUUGGCUUAAGAUGGAGGCUCCUGGUAAAACUGUUUUUAUUGUUGGUGAACCUUGACUGUUGUCUUAAACUUAUCCUAAACCCUUAUCAUUGCCAUUAUGUUUCCUCAGACACCAGAAGAAUACUCGGGUAUUAACAAAAUAAAAGCGAAGGAAUGGCCCACAGGGAAACCUCAUUAUACCUCAUUGGAUGAACUGUUCUGUGUAAGUGUUCUCGACAAUAUUUGAGUUCAAAUACUUAGCAGCAGUCUCUUCGUUAAAAUGUAACCUACUUUAGACAUGCGUUUAUAAGCUUAAAUUACUCACCUUUUUUUUGUUAACAUACAUAUAAUAAUAUGUUAUGAGUGAGAGAGGUUUGAACUUGUGCAAAGACCUACCUCUUUUUUUUAAUCCAGGCCAUUAAAAAAGAGGAUGCUGAGGAAAUUAAGGACAUUAGGAUGUUCAUCGACUUCCUCAAAAAAAUGUUACAUCUGGAUGGGUGGAUGCGAAUCACUCCUGAGGUGGCUCUUCAGCAUCCUUUCAUCACCAUGUCCCACCUGAGCCAGGAUCCAGACAGCAGUGACUAUCUAACCAAGGCACAGGAAUUCAUGUCAAAGAGUGAACUUCCUUUGAAGGAUGUCGUUGGUCAAGAGGAUCCUGACGAGGAACGUAUGGCCCAGCUGUGUCCUGCAGCUGGCCAGUGUGAACCAACUGAAACAGAUGGUUCAAAACAUAUAUUUGUUGGUGUUCAGUCUCUUGAUUCAAACAGCCAAUGGGAAGAUGUUGAGACACUUGAAGAUGAAGAUGAAUUUGAGAAGGUCCCGUUUACUCCUUCAUCUGGCCAAAGUGAACACAUUGAGAGAAAUGUCUCCGAAGAACUCCAUCUUCAUUCAACUGAGGAUGAUUCUGAAAUCCAGUUUUUUCCAGAACAAUUUUUUAAUAGUCGUGAUGAAACUCUGGAUUUGGUUUCCUCAGUGAAUGGACCUGCGGUGGACAGCAGUGACUAUCUAACCAAGGCACAUGAAUUCAUGUCAAAGAGUGAACUUCCUUUGAAGGAUGUCGUUGGUCAAGAGGACAUUGACGAGGAACGUAUGGCCCAGCUGUGUCCUGCAGCUGGCCAGUGUGAACCAACUGAAACAGAUGGUUCAAAACAUAUAUUUGUUGGUGUUCAGUCUCUUGAUUCAAACAGCCAAUGGGAAGAUGUUGAGACACUUGAAGAUGAAGAUGAAUUUGAGAAGGUCCCGUUUACUCCUUCAUCUGGCCAAAGUGAACACAUUGAGAGAAAUGUCUCCAAAGAACUCCAUCUUCAUUCAACUGAGGAUGAUUCUGAAAUCCAGUUCCUUCCAGAACAAUUUUUUAGUAGUCGUGAUGAAACUCUGGAUUUGGUUUCCUCAGUAAAUGGACCUGUGGUGGAAGACGUCCCCAGACCCACCCCCAC